GUUUGCACUAGGCUUUGGCUGUGGCAAAGCAGGCAGUCACUGCAUGAGAACUGAUGGCUGGAGGGCAAGGAGUUCCUUUCCAACAACCAGGAGCACCAGGUUCUCUCCCUUCAUAUUUAUUGCAGAACAGCAGACUUUCUACAAUAAAGAAGGAAGAAAACUGCGUCCAUCACUGAAUGUAAAACCUCCAAGUGUUUGGCCCAGAAUCAGUUCCCUUUUGCCUUGUUGGGAAGACUUCUGUCAGACAUCUAAAGAGAUUGAAGACAACUAUUUCAGGAGAGACCUCUGACUUUUAGACGGCAUCUGUCAAGAUGAAACCCAUCCAUCCCUGGACAGGAGAAGCUCACAUUCCUGUUUUUUCAGCCAGCUUGUUUGUCUUUGCCCUGAAAUGAACUCCCAUUAAUCUCAGAGUAAGUUGUGGCUGAGAAGUAGUUUGUGAAUCUGUUUUUUAUCUUUGCCACCUUUCAGCUCUCGUUUACAAGCUUCCAGCUCAGCCUGGGUGCCUGGCCAUGGCCAUGUGUGUAAGCAUCCCACCAGGCAUGCCAGGACUCUUCUCAAGAGCCACCGAGCCGUGUAGACAUAGCCUUUGGCAUCUCACUAGAGAAAGGGCAAGAGAGACUUUAUAUUCCUGGAAUUGCCUUGCUUCCUUACAAGAAUAUCUCAAGUUGUACUUAUUUUCUUGAGGUUUUUUUCUUCCUGGAAGGUUGUUCUCUCUGUUUUUAUUCCCUCCUGAGAAAGGGAGAAGAAACAAAAGCCCAAAGGCUAGGACAAGAAGGAGCGCGUGUAAUUUGGCAAAGACUGUCUGAGUGCUGAACCCAAGUACUGCUGGAAUCCAAAUAUUUACUAAAUUUCAUAUUAAGGGCAAUACCCCAAGCUCUAUUUUUGCUGUAUUUCACCUUUCCUGGCUAUUAAUACCCUAUAUGACACCCAUAUGAUCAAAUAAAUCUGGCCACUGUGGAGAACCCCAUGGAAGUGGCUGGGUUGUGCUGUGUGUGGGCUGAGUUUAUGAGCAGGUUUCGAGGAAGCUGUUCAGGGGUUUCACCACCCUCCAGGGAGUGUCUUGCACUGCA